UACAGAGGGUGCAAGCGUUAAUCGGAAUUACUGGGCGUAAAGCGUGCGUAGACGGUUAUGUAAGUCGGGUGUGAGAGCCCCGGGCUCAACCUGGGAAUUGCAUUCGAGACUGCAUAGCUAGGGUGCGGAAGAGGGAAGCGGAAUUUCCGGUGUAGCGGUGAAAUGCGCUGAUAUCGGAAGGAACGCCGGUGGCGAAAGCGACGCACUGGACCUCUUCUGACGCUGAGGCGCGAAAGCCAGGGGAGCAAACGGG
rnacentral:rRNA from 1 species